AGCAGCCGCGGUAAUUCCAGCUCCAAUAGCGUAUAUUAAAGUUGUUGCAGUUAAAAAGCUCGUAGUUGAACUUCGGAAUUCGUCCAUUGGUCAGGCUUAAUUGUCUGUACUGGUGAGACGAGUUUCUACCUUCUGAAGAACCUUCAUGCUAUUUAGUUAGUGUGUUGGGGAAUCAGGACUGUUACUUUGAAAAAUUAGAGUGUUUAAAGCAGGCUUAUGUCUGAAUACAUUAGCAUGGAAUAAUGAAAUAGGACGGUACGGUUCUAUUUUGUUGGUUUCUAGGAUCGCCGUAAUGAUUAAUAGGGAUAGUUGGGGGCAUUAGUAUUCAAUUGUCAGAGGUGAAAUUCUUGGAUUUAUUGAAGACUAACUACUGCGAAAGCAUUUGCCAAGGAUGUUUUCAUUAA
rnacentral:rRNA from 1 species